GACAGGACAGACAUGGCCAGUGGGGCAGAGUAGGCUGUGCACAGGAUGGAUCUGGCUGUAUCUUGAAAGGUGAGCAGGACUUAAAUGCAGACCAGGGGAAGUGCAUUUGGUGAGGACAAAAGUAGCUGGACAGGCGUGACAGCAUGGCUGGGGAGAGUAUGCAGAAGUGUGUGCACACCAGGAGGCUGGCGAGCAAAGGCUGACCUUGUGGAAAAGCGGAAGGAAGCCAAAUAGUCCAAGAGGAGGGACUGGGGCUUUGGUCAGGUCAGGCCUGGGAGCUGGGGGUGUGUGCGGGUACUCAGCACACUCCAAGGGCAGAGGAAUGCCCAAGGCCUGAGGCCUAGGAAAGGAGCUGUGGGGACAGGUAGAAGGGACUCAGAGCCAAGAGGCGGCCCCAGGGCCCGGUGAGGGGCAGCGCCAGGGCUGGGUACCCAGGAGCCUCUGCCCAGGCAGGUCGCUGAAGUGGCCCCGGAGAAGAUCCUGGAGUGGCCCAGGUGCUCAGGUCCGGCGGCUCCUGGGGUCUGCCUGUCAUGCCGAGGAAGUGGCCAUCGGGCAGUGGGUGAGCUGGACAGGCAGCCAGAGGCCUCUCACCCCACCCUGCACCUGGAACGGGGGCUCUGCCUGCCUUCUCCAUACCAGGAGCUGCCCAAGCACACGGCCUUGGGAUGGUGCUGUGUGCAGAGGCCAUCUGGAUGAGGAAGAAAAAGGUGCCCUGGCAACACUGCCAUGAGCAACAAGCAGGAGACUCCUACACAGCAGGUUGUUCAAAGGGAAGCAUGCUGCCCUGACAACAAUCCAUUUUCAUGACGAAGGCUAAUCUGUUUAGAGAGAAGAAGAAAUUACAGAAAGCUCGCAAAUGACAGUGUGUUGAACAGUGUGUGUUUAAAAGCCCCAGACAAUCUCUUAA